CAUGCUCAGUGUAAAUUCUCCCGGAGUCUGUCAGCUAUGUUUGAACUCAGUCCAGCAGGGCUGCCUUUACUUUUUUUUUUCCCUACCAGGAAGAAUGCUCCAUUACAUUGUGCUUUGCCUCUCUCUCUCUCUCUCUCUCUCUCUCUCUCUCUCUCUCUCUCUCUCUCUCUCUCAGAAGAUCAGUAACAAUGUUAUUUUCUGAUCAGUUCAGUAAUACAAUGCCCUCUGAUGUUCACACCAGCAUCUCACUGGAGAAGAAAAGAAUGUUGUUGGCUACCUGGGACCAGAAGACUUCUUAGUGAAUCCUGCAAUGGACUGACCUCAUCUUCCCGAGGCUGUGAUGUUUCAGGAGAGUUUCACUAUUGCUGACCAACUGAGACCACCAGGAGCUCCUAAGUGCAAAGAACAGGAAUCCUUUCUGCAACCAGAGGCUAUUACGAGUAUGGCUACAUCUUUUCUUCUGGAUACCACCAGAUCAUUCCAGCCACCUGCCUUUGUGGUGUCUCCAGACAAGGGCUGACAACCAUCGAAGCAUCGAAACCCUAAGGCUACUUGGAGAGAAGAAGACUGUCCCUGGAGAAGCGCUGUGAACCAAGGAAGCGAAAAAACAAAGAGCCCGAAGACUGCACAGUUCCAGCUUGUAGGCCCUGGAGACAGUCUGGAGUCCUCAGACGGACAGAAAGAAGACAUCAGAAGGGCAACCUGUGGUGCCUGUGGCUGCUGAGUACAGGAUAUGAAUCAGAGAGAAAGAAGUAAAAUCUUGUCCUAGGAAGAAAGGGAGCGAUUGGCAGAAGACUUGUCUCUGGCGUGGGUGACUGAUUUUUAAGAAAUCGGCAACACGGAAGCUGAUUAUAAAAUAUUCAUAAGAAGCUGGCUUUUACAGGUAAUCGCUUUUUUCCUUCUACUUCUUCCCAAACCUUCCAUUUCUUCAAAUAGUACAAUUUUUAGGACAUUGAAAGCUUAUAUAUUUAAUGUUGCUAGUUUAUAUCUUUAUAACCCAUCAAUCUAGCUUUUGUGGUCUUUGAUUCUUUGGAGUUUGAGAGUUUUUAGAAUUAAUUUCAAAAGGAUGUUUGCUUCUUUUUAAAGUAAUUUAGGCAGAGUUCAUUUGAAACCACAAACACUGUCUUUGAACUCUGGAUGUAUAUGUAUGUAUAUGUAUAUUAUAUGCAUAUAUGUGUGUCUAUAUAUCUGAGAAUUCAGGGUUUAUAUGCAUUUCAGAAGGUUGUUAUUAAUAUUUUAGCUUCAGUUCUACUUGAUUACAACUUAGCACUUUCUGGAACUCUUCAAUAUCCAUUGCGUGGGUGGGGAUUGAGUUUGGCUCUCAUGAUCCAGGCAGCUUCCUUUGGGUGCCGCUGAAGCACUUUGUCCCACCUAGAAAGGUUUACAAGCAUCCAUGAUCUGGUGUCCAAAAAAAAGUACCUUUCCCUUUGUUUGUAAAUGACAGCCCCAUGU
rnacentral:lncRNA from 1 species